UUCCGGUUGAUCCUGCCGGAGGCCACUGCUAUCGGGGUCCGACUAAGCCAUGCGAGUCAAGGGGGUGUCCCUCUGGGACACCACCGGCGGACGGCUCAGUAACACGUCGGUAACCUACCCUCGGGAGGGGGAUAACCCCGGGAAACUGGGGCUAAUCCCCCAUAGGCCUGAGGUACUGGAAGGUCCUCAGGCCGAAAGGGGCUUUUGCCCGCCCGAGGAUGGGCCGGCGGCCGAUUAGGUAGUUGGUGGGGUAACGGCCCACCAAGCCGAAGAUCGGUACGGGCUGUGAGAGCGGGAGCCCGGAGAUGGACACUGAGACACGGGUCCAGGCCCUACGGGGCGCAGCAGGCGCGAAACCUCCGCAAUGCGGGAAACCGCGACGGGGGGACCCCGAGUGCCGUGGCACCGCCACGGCUUUUCCGGAGUGUAAAAAGCUCCGGGAAUAAGGGCUGGGCAAGGCCGGUGGCAGCCGCCGCGGUAAUACCGGCGGCCCGAGUGGUGGCCGCUAUUAUUGGGCCUAAAGCGUCCGUAGCCGGGCCCGUAAGUCCCUGGCGAAAUCCCACGGCUCAACCGUGGGGCUUGCUGGGGAUACUGCGGGCCUUGGGACCGGGAGAGGCGGGGGGUACCCCUGGGGUAGGGGUGAAAUCCUAUAAUCCCAGGGGGACCGCCAGUGGCGAAGGCGCCCCGCUGGAACGGGUCCGACGGUGAGGGACGAAGGCCAGGGGAGCAAACCGGAUUAGAUACCCGGGUAGUCCUGGCUGUAAAGGAUGCGGGCUAGGUGUCGGGUGAGCUUCGAGCUCGCCCGGUGCCGUAGGGAAGCCGUUAAGCCCGCCGCCUGGGGAGUACGGCCGCAAGGCUGAAACUUAAAGGNAUUGGCGGGGGAGCACUACNAGGGGUGGAGCGUGCGGUUUNAUUGGAUUCAACGCCGGG
rnacentral:rRNA from 1 species